UAAAGAUAAUUAAAGAAUAGGCUUCUAACUUAAUUCUAAAGCAAUAAAUUGUUUUUAUCUUUAU
rnacentral:tRNA from 1 species